AAAAAUAUUCAUAAAGACUAUACCCUCUAUCAUUUAGGGUUUGUGUGAUUAAAGGAAAAAAGGUCAAGAGGGAGAAAUCAAUUUAUCAUGUAUUAUUUGUGUUCUUCGUCAAAGCUUAAUGCUCAACUCCAAUUCCACAUGAGAUCUUAAUAGAAGUUUACUAGGGGACGUCAGUUGAUUCCGUUGGCAACACUACACUAGUUGAAUGAAAGGAUGUUGUGGUUUUGCUAUUAAAAUCAGCGGUAUUUGGGAUUUUUCACAACUAUAAAUAAUUGAAGUUAGAUCAGAUUUAAGGAGUCCGUUAGAUCUUUUAGUUGAGAAAGUAGUUAAGAACGGUUACUCAAACUUCCUCUGCAGCUUUUCUUUGAGAUGUCUUUAGAUAUUUGUAACCGGGAGAAUUUCAUUUGUAAUUCUCUUUAGAUUCCUUAGUUUCUAGUUAUUGUAAGCGGAAUUGAAGCUCUAUGAUAAUGAGAAACACUUAGGCAAGUGAAGAUAUCAAGCUUCAAGAUUGAAGACCGAGCUCAUCUUUAGACAUUGAAAAUUUGUUAGCUCUUUCUCUAUUUUGUAGUUUGAAUAGUGUUUUAAUAAUGAAUUGUACACUUGCUUUCCUUGUGUUUCAAUUAUGAGCUACUUUUAUCACAGGUUAAUCGGUUGGUGAGGACCGACUCUCAUAAUACUUUCAUUUACACAAGAAAUUAUUUAAUUGUAAUUA